rnacentral:rRNA from 1 species
UACGUAGGGUGCAAGCGUUUGUCCGGAAUUAUUGGGCGUAAAGAGCUCGUAGGCGGUUUGUCGCGUCUGCUGUGAAACUCCGAGGCUCAACCUCGGGCCUGCAGUGGGUACGGGCAGACUAGAGUGCGGUAGGGGAGAUUGGAAUUCCUGGUGUAGCGGUGGAAUGCGCAGAUAUCAGGAGGAACACCGAUGGCGAAGGCAGAUCUCUGGGCCGUAACUGACGCUGAGGAGCGAAAGCGUGGGGAGCGAACAGG